GCGAUGAACCAGGCUGCCGCGCCGUGACUAUAGUCGCGGUGAGGAAAGUCCGGGCUCCGCAGGGCAUGAUGCCGGGUAAUACCCGGGCGGAAGGGUGUUUUCAACACCCCUGCGACAGAGAGCGCAACAGAAAGCAAACCGCCAGAGGGGGGCGGUAAACGACCCCUCUCCUCUGGUAAGGGUGAAAGGGUAGGGUAAGAGCCUACCGCGGGACCGGUAACGGUUCCGGCACGGCAAGCCUCAUCAGGAGCAAAGUCAAACAGCGGCAGAACGGCCCGUUUAUGCCGCGGGUAGACUGCGUGGAUACUAUCCGCAAGGAUAGCACAAGAUAAAUGGCAGCUAUGGCGUAAAACGCCUAAACAGAACCCGGCUUAUGGUUCAUCGUUUUU
rnacentral:RNase_P_RNA from 1 species